UACGUAGGGUGCGAGCGUUAAUCGGAAUUACUGGGCGUAAAGCGUGCGCAGGCGGUUUUGUAAGCCAGAUGUGAAAUCCCCGGGCUUAACCUGGGAAUGGCAUUUGGGACUGCAAGGCUUGAGUGCGGCAGAGGAGACUGGAAUUCCUGGUGUAGCAGUGAAAUGCGUAGAUAUCAGGAGGAAUACCGAUGGCGAAGGCAGGUCUCUGGGCUGACACUGACGCUGAGACGCGAAAGCGUGGGGAGCAAACAGG
rnacentral:rRNA from 1 species